rnacentral:lncRNA from 1 species
AGGAUCACAAAAUCUUAUUAUUCACUAAAAAAACAUGAUAGAUCUUUACAAUCAAAUUUCUAACACCAAACAUACCAACAGGAUCACAAAAUCUAAGGUAUUACUCACUAAAAAACAUGAUAGAUCUUUACAAGCAAAGAGAAAAGAACUUCAGAAGAAAAAUUACCUCAAGGAACUCUAAUGUCAGAGACCUCCAGUAACAUAGCCGAAUUCAUCCAAUCGCAGCGAAAAAAGGUACAAUAAUCAUUUUUGGGGAAACAUGGCAACAGCAAAGCUACAAUAAUCACAAUUCAGUCCUAGCUAGCCACAUUUCUGAGAGGGGGUCCUAGCUAGUCUCGUUUCUGAUGGAGAGAACCGAGGAAGAGGAAGAAAAUUAAGAAACUUUGCGUAAAUAUCAUUUGUUUUUCCUUUAACGCAAGUAAUUUGCAUUCUGCAGUUUUGUGAACACAUUGUCAAUAGAAACAAAACUGUCUAGGAAAAAUCUGUCUAAACUAACUGUUUAGGUCGGUCCCAACGCUCUCAUCACGAGGAAGCGAUUCCACUUCCAUCAACUUCCUUCUCCUCUCAUUUGAUCCACUUUCUCUUCAUUUUCUUCUCGCUCCGA